AAAGUCGGCCAGGCAAUCGCUGGGCGUCCGGAGGUAACUUCGGCGCCGGGAGGAAAGUCCGGGCUCCAUUGGGCGGGAUGCCAGUUAACGGCUGGGUGCUAUAAGUCGCAAGACGAAAGUCGAGUGACCCAAGGCAACGGAAAGUGCAACAGAGAAUAGACCGCCGAUGGCGUCGCAAGACGCACAGGUAAGGGUGAAACGGCGAGGUAAGAGCUCACCGCGUCCACGGUAACGGCGGACGGCACGGUAAACCCCAUCCGGAGCAAGACCAAAUAGGGAAGCUGAGGCGUGGCCCGCGCUGCUUCCGGGUAGGUUGCUUGAGCCUGUCGGUAACGGCAGGCCUAGAGGAAUGAUUGCCGAACCCCGCAAGGGGGGAACAGAACCCGGCUUAUCGGCCG
rnacentral:RNase_P_RNA from 1 species